GACGAACGCUGGCGGCGUGCUUAACGCAUGCAAGUCGAGCGGUAAGGCCCUUUCGGGGGUACACGAGCGGCGAACGGGUGAGUAACACGUGGGUGACCUGCCCUCAGCUCUGGGAUAAGCCUGGGAAACUGGGUCUAAUACCGGAUAUGACUCCAUGACGCAUGUUGUGGGGUGGAAAGCCUUGUGCGGCUGAGGAUGGGCCCGCGGCCUAUCAGCUUGUUGGUGGGGUGANGGCCUACCAAGGCGACGACGGGUAGCCGGCCUGAGAGGGCGACCGGCCACACUGGGACUGAGACACGGCCCAGACUCCUACGGGAGGCAGCAGUGGGGAAUCUUGCGCAAUGGGCGAAAGCCUGACGCAGCGACGCCGCGUGAGGGAUGACGGCCUGG
rnacentral:rRNA from 1 species